rnacentral:antisense_RNA from 1 species
AAGCACCAACCAAAAGAAGAAAGGAGGAUAGAAAAAAUAAAAUGGAAGAUGUAGGGUGGGCAGAUUAGGGCUGCGUUUGUUGCUUGCUUUCAUGUUAGCAUCAUAGCGUUUUUGCCACUUACAAAGGAGGAAAAAAAUCAAUUCUGUGCCAACCCAGACAACAGAGACCUGAGUGGGGGUUGGGAAGAGAGAUUUUUCAGCACAGAAUCAGACUCCUUCUCCAAAGAGCUGUGUGGCCUUCACCUGCAAGGUGACCUCUUCCACAAGCAGAGGCCAGGACAAAAAGAGGCACCUGUGAGCGACAAAGGCGGUUUCCUUGGUUUCCCUCACGGCGCCAAGCGGAGUGGCCGCCUCCCACCACAGGGCCCCCUAAUGGGCGCUUUUGUCCUGCGGGGCAGAGGGACCUCAUUAGAAGGCGCUGGUGCUAAAGGGAAAUGCAUUUCCAGAACAGGAGGUUUCAUCAUUCCUAGCGUUAGCGACAGAAUGGUGACAGAAGCUCUGUGGACGUAUUUUCCAGCGUUCAGUUCACAUCAAGGAUGGGUAUGCACUGGCGGAAAAGGUCAGCUCGCAGAAUGAUCGCCCAUCCACACAGCGUUUGGAGGUCAGACGUUCCUGAUGACUGUGAAAAUGGGGAGGUGAGAAGAGGUCGUCAAAGGGAGCAGCCUUUUAAAGCCAGGUCAGCUGCUAACAAAUUUUGUGACUUUGGAAAAUGUACUGAACUUCUCUGAAUGUUUAUUUUUUUAUCCCAUCUGUUGAAACGGUGCUAAAAAUAUUAUCUACUCUU